rnacentral:tRNA from 1 species
GGAAGUACCUGUGGCUGAAUGGUAGAGCAUCUGCUUGGCAUGCAGAAGGUCCCAGGUUAAAUUCCUGGCAUCUCCA